UACAGAGGGUGCAAGCGUUGUUCGGAAUUAUUGGGCGUAAAGGGCGCGUAGGCGGUGCCACAAGUCACCUGUGAAAUCUCCGGGCUUAACUCGGAGCCUGCAGGCGAAACUGUGGUGCUGGAGUGUGGGAGAGGUGAGUGGAAUUCCUGGUGUAGCGGUGAAAUGCGUAGAUAUCAGGAGGAACACCGGUGGUGUAGACGGCUCACUGGACCGUAACUGACGCUGAGACACGAAAGCGUGGGUAGCAAACAGG
rnacentral:rRNA from 1 species